GAGCAUGCUCAGUGGGAGGUUUUAAAAUAUUUUCUUUAGGUCAGCUUUAUUUUGCUCAUUUCUUUGGAAAUAUUUCAACAAAAGCCAUCUAAUUAGUCCUUAAUAACAUUGUUCACUAAUGCCCUAGCCAAGGCCCAAGUGUCUGUCAUCUGCCAAGGUGAUGUUUUCACCGUGUUUGCCAAGGGACCACUACUGGGCAAUGCGGACCUCCCUGUUCCCUGCAGCAUAGCAAUAUUAAAAUUAGGCCAAUGAAGAAACCUACAAUGACCUCUAAGUGGGUCAAGUCAAAGAAAGAGGUGCAUGCCUCUUUUCCUUUAAAUCAAAUCAAAAGCAGAACAGGAUUGAGCUUAGUGAGGAAGGCAUAUUGAAAGCCAAGAUGGGCCAAAAGCUAGGUUGCUUGUGCCAAAGAAUUAGCCAAGUUGUGAAUGCAAAGGAGAAAAGUUCUUGAAGGAAAUUAAAAGUGCUACUCCAGUGAACACAUGAAUGAUAAGAAAGCAAAACAGCCUUCUUGAUGAUAUGAGGAAAAUUUGGGCUCGAUAGAAGAUCAAAGCAGCCACAACAUUCCCUUAAGCCAAAGCAUAAUCCAUAGCAGGACCCUAACUCUCUUCAAUUGCAUG
rnacentral:antisense_RNA from 1 species